AGUGAACGCUGGCGGUAGGCCUAACACAUGCAAGUCGAACGGCAGCACAGUAAGAGCUUGCUCUUACGGGUGGCGAGUGGCGGACGGGUGAGGAAUACAUCGGAAUCUACUUUUUCGUGGGGGAUAACGUAGGGAAACUUACGCUAAUACCGCAUACGACCUACGGGUGAAAGCAGGGGAUCUUCGGAGCUUUCGCGAUUGAAUGAGCCGAUGUCGGAUUAGCUAGUUGGCGGGGUAAAGGCCCACCAAGGCGACGAUCCGUAGCUGGUCUGAGAGGAUGAUCAGCCACACUGGAACUGAGACACGGUCCAGACUCCUACGGGAGGCAGCAGUGGGGAAUAUUGGACAAUGGGCGCAAGCCUGAUCCAGCCAUACCGCGUGGGUGAAGAAGGCCUUCGGGUUGUAAAGCCCUUUUGUUGGGAAAGAAAAGCAGCAGAUUAAUACCCCGCUGUUCUGACGGUACCCAAAGAAUAAGCACCGGCUAACUUCGUG
rnacentral:rRNA from 1 species